UACAGAGGGUGCGAGCGUUAAUCGGAAUUACUGGGCGUAAAGCGCACGUAGGCGGCUUGGUUUGUCGGGUGUGAAAUCCCCGGGCUCAACCUGGGAACUGCAUCCGAAACUGCCUUGCUCGAGUAUGGGAGAGGGAAGUGGAAUUCCUGGUGUAGAGGUGAAAUUCGUAGAUAUCAGGAGGAACACCGGUGGCGAAGGCGGCGACCUGGACCGGUACUGACGCUGAGACGCGAAAGCGUGGGGAGCAAACAGG
rnacentral:rRNA from 1 species